rnacentral:rRNA from 1 species
AUCCGCGGAUUCAGCCGCAAGGUGAGAAUUUGUGGAGGAUAGUGGCGAAAGGGUGCGUAACGCGUGGGCAAUCUGCCUUCAAGUUGAGUAUAACCUGCCGAAAGGCGGGCUAAUACUGAAUGUGAUCGUGCGCCGCAUGGCGCAUUGUUUAAAGCCGGGGACCCGCAAGGGCCUGGCGCUUGAAGAGGAGCCCGCGUCCUAUCAGCUUGUUGGUGAGGUGACGGCCCACCAAGGCUAUGACGGGUAGCUGGUCUGAGAGGAUGGUCAGCCACACUGGGACUGAGACACUGCCCAGACUCCUACGGGUGGCUGCAGUCGAGGAUCAUUUGCAAUGGGCGCAAGCCUGACAAUGCGACGCUGCGUGGAGGAUGACGGCCUUCGGGUUGUAAACUCCUGUCGUCCGGGAACAAUAUCGGGAGGGUUAAUAACCCUGCCGGUUGAUGGUACCGGAAAAGGAAGUCACGGCUAACUCUGUGCCAGCAGCCGCGGUGAUACAGAGGUGGCUAGCGUUGUUCGGAUUUACUGGGCGUAAAGGAUGCGUAGGUGGCUUUGUAUGUCAGAUGUGAAAUUUCAUUGCUCAACGAUGAAAGUGCAUUUGAAACUACUUGGCUUGAGUACAGGAGAGGAGCAUGGAAUUCUUGGUGUAGCGGUGAAAUGCGUAGAUAUCAAGAAGAACACCGGAGGCGAAGGCGAUGCUCUAGAAUGAUACUGACACUGAGGCAUGAAAGCUGGGGGAGCAAACAGGAUUAGAUACCCUGGUAGUCCCAGCCUUAAACGGUGUACACUUGGUGUGGGAAGGAAUUAACCCCUCCUGCGCCGUAGCUAACGCGAUAAGUGUACCGCCUGGGGAGUACGGCCGCAGGGUUAAAACUCAAAGAAAUUGACGGGGGCCCGCACAAGCGGAGGAGCAUGUGGCUUAAUUCGAUGCACCGCGAAGAACUUACCAGGGCUUGACAUGUAACUGCAGUCCCGUGAAAGCGGGAUUCCUUCGAGGGUGUUACACAGGUGCUGCAUGGCUGUCGUCAG